CUUUAGUAGUGGGUUUUAGUAGUGGGGUUUAGUAGUUGGUUUUAGUAGUAGUGGGUUUUAGUAGUGGGUUUUAGUAGUGGGCUUUAGUAGUGGGCUUUAGUAGUGGGUUUUAGUAGUGGGCUUUAGUAGUGGGUUUUAGUAGUGGGUUUUAGUAGUGGGUUUUAGUUGUGGGUUUUAGUUGUGGGUUUUAGUGGGAGGUUUUAGUGGGAGGUUUUAGUAGUAGUGGGUUUUAGUAGUGGGUUUUAGUAGUAGUGGGUUUUAGUAGUAGUGGGUUUUAGUAGUGUUUUUUAGUUGUGGGUUUUAGUAGUGGGUUUUAGUGGGAGGUUUUAGUAGUGGGUUUUAGUAGUGGGUUUUAGUGGGAGGUUUUAGUAGUAGUGGGUUUUAGUAGUAGUGGGUUUUAGUAGUGGUGGGUUUUAGUAGUAGUGGGUUUUUGUAGUGGGUUUUAGUAGUAGUGGGUUUUAGUAGUGGGUUUUAGUAGUAGUGGGUUUUAGUAGUGGGUUUUAGUAGUGGUGGGUUUUAGUAGUGGGUUUUAGUAGUAGUGGGUUUUAGUAGAGGGUUUUAGUAGUGGGUUUUAGUAGUAGUGGGUUUUAGUAGUGGGUUUUAGUAGUAGUGGGUUUUAGUGGUGGGUUUUAGUAGUGGGUUUUAGUAGUUGGUUUUAGUAGUAGUGGGUUUUAGUCGUGGGUUUUAGUAGUGGGCUUUAGUAGUGGGCUUUAGUAGUGGGUUUUAGUAGUGGGCUUUAGUAGUGGGUUUUAGUAGUGGGUUUUAGUAGUGGGUUUUAGUUGUGGGUUUUAGUUGUGGGUUUUAGUAGUAGUGGGUUGUAGUAGUAUUUGGUUUUAGUAGUGGGUUUUAGUAGUGGGUUUUAGUUGUGGGUUUUAGUAGUGGGUUUUAGUGGGAGGUUUUAG
ensembl:lncRNA